rnacentral:rRNA from 1 species
UUUAGAGGAAGUAAAAGUCGUAACAAGGUUUCCGUAGGUGAACCUGCGGAAGGAUCAUUAUCGAAAUUAUCGGUGAGGGUUGUAGCUGGCCUUUCGGGGCACGUGCACGCCCGAGCCCUUUAAUCCACUUUACACCUGUGAACCUAAUGUAGGUCGCCCCUCGAAAAGGUGGCCUACGUCUUAUCAUCAACCCAUCGUAUGUCUCAUAGAAUGUAAAUCAAUAUCCUCGCCUUAAAAAGGCGUUGAUAAACUUUAUACAACUUUCAACAACGGAUCUCUUGGCUCUCGCAUCGAUGAAGAACGCAGCGAAAUGCGAUAAGUAAUGUGAAUUGCAGAUUUUCAGUGAAUCAUCGAAUCUUUGAACGCACCUUGCGCUCCUUGGUAUUCCGAGGAGCAUGCCUGUUUGAGUGUCAUUAAAUUCUCAACUCCAAAGGGUUUCACGACCUCUUGGAGAUUGGACUUGGAGCGUGCCGGCGUCCACGUCGGCUCCUCUCAAAUGCAUCAGCGGAAUUCAAUCUUUGGGCUUCCGGAGUCAGUGUGAUAAUCAUGUUGCGCUGUCGUCGGAAUCCUCAGAGUCCGCUCAUAAUGGUCUUUGGACAAAUCAUCAUCAAAUUUGACCUCAAAUCAGGUAGGACUACCCGCUGAACUUAAGCAUAUCAAUAAGCGGAGGAAAAGAAACUAACAAGGAUUCCCCUAGUAACUGCGAGUGAAGCGGGAAAAGCUCAAAUUUAAAAUCUGGCGGUCUUUCGGCCGUCCGAGUUGUAAUCUGGAGAAGCGUUUAUCCGCGCUGGACCGUGUACA